rnacentral:lncRNA from 1 species
UGCGGAACAUACAUCGCCACGGAGAUCCACUCGGGUUAGGAGAACUCCUACCCACCUUGCAGAUUUUCAUACUGACAUGUCAUCUGCACAUACUGUAAGUUCUAAAUAUCCUGUUAAUAAUUUUGUGUCCUAUCAUGCUCUAUCUUCUAAUUUUCAACAUACUAUUGCUUCUUUUUCUUCUUCAACUGAACCUCAAAAUUAUGAGGAUGCUUCCAAACACGACUGCUGGAAAGAAGCAAUGGCAGAAGAACUUACUGCUCUCUCUGCAAACAACACUUGGACACUAGUGCCCCUUCCCUUGGGAAAGAAAGCCAUUGGCUGUCGCUGGGUGUACAAGGUAAAGCAUAGAUCAGACGGUACAAUCGAACGCUACAAGGCACGUCUCGUUGCAAAAGGCUAUGCGCAACUUGAAGGGCUAGACUUUCUUGAUACUUUUGCUCCAGUUGCAAAGCUGACCACCUUGCGCCUGCUUCUCGCCCUUGCUGCAUCACACAAAUGGUUCCUCAAACAACUGGAUGUUAACAACGCCUUUCUACAUGGAGACCUUCUUGAAGAAGUAUACAUGAAGCCACCUCCUGGAAUUGAUGUCCCUAAUCCACAAAUUGUUUGCAAACUGCAACGUUCGCUCUAUGGCCUACGUCAAGCAAGUCGACAAUGGUAUGCCAAACUAUCUCAAUUCUUACUUUCUAAUGGUUAUGUUUUGUCUGCUGCUGAUCAUUCCUUAUUUAUAAAAACGCAAAACACUCACAUAACUGCCCUUCUUGUGUAUGUUGA